UUGGCCGCCAUUUGAGCGCUUGG
rnacentral:misc_RNA from 1 species